UACGAAGGGGGCUAGCGUUGCUCGGAAUUACUGGGCGUAAAGCGCACGUAGGCGGGAUCGUUAAGUCGGGGGUGAAAUCCUGGAGCUCAACUCCAGAACUGCCUUCGAUACUGGCGAUCUCGAGUCCGGAAGAGGUGAGUGGAACUCCUAGUGUAGAGGUGGAAUUCGUAGAUAUUAGGAAGAACACCAGUGGCGAAGGCGACUCACUGGUCCGGUACUGACGCUGAGGUGCGAAAGCGUGGGGAGCAAACAGG
rnacentral:rRNA from 1 species